rnacentral:rRNA from 1 species
CUCAGGAUGAACGCUGGCGGCGUGCCUAAUACAUGCAAGUCGAGCGAACGGAUAAGGAGCUUGCUCCUUUGAAGUUAGCGGCGGACGGGUGAGUAACACGUGGGUAACCUACCUAUAAGACUGGAAUAACUUCGGGAAACCGGAGCUAAUGCCGGAUAACAUUUGGAACCGCAUGGUUCUAAAGUAAAAGAUGGUUUUGCUAUCACUUAUAGAUGGACCCGCGCCGUAUUAGCUAGUUGGUAAGGUAACGGCUUACCAAGGCAACGAUACGUAGCCGACCUGAGAGGGUGAUCGGCCACACUGGAACUGAGACACGGUCCAGACUCCUACGGGAGGCAGCAGUAGGGAAUCUUCCGCAAUGGACGAAAGUCUGACGGAGCAACGCCGCGUGAGUGAUGAAGGUUUUCGGAUCGUAAAACUCUGUUAUUAGGGAAGAACAAAUGUGUAAGUAACUGUGCACAUCUUGACGGUACCUAAUCAGAAAGCCACGGCUAACUACGUGCCA